rnacentral:rRNA from 1 species
AGUGAACGCUGGCGGUAGGCCUAACACAUGCAAGUCGAACGGCAGCACAGUAAGAGCUUGCUCUUACGGGUGGCGAGUGGCGGACGGGUGAGGAAUACAUCGGAAUCUACUUUUUCGUGGGGGAUAACGUAGGGAAACUUACGCUAAUACCGCAUACGACCUACGGGUGAAAGCAGGGGAUCUUCGGACCUUGCGCGAUUGAAUGAGCCGAUGUCGGAUUAGCUAGUUGGCGGGGUAAAGGCCCACCAAGGCGACGAUCCGUAGCUGGUCUGAGAGGAUGGUCGGCGACACUGGAACUGGGACACGGUCCAGACUCCUACGGGAGGCAGCAGUGGGGAAUGUUGGACAAUGGGCGCAAGCCUGAUCCAGCCAUACCGCGUGGGUGAAGAAGGCCUUCGGGUUGUAAAGCCCUUUUGUUGGGAAAGAAAAGCAGCAGGUUAAUACCCCGCUGUUCUGACGGUACCCAAAGAAUAAGCACCGGCUAACUUCGUG